UACGAACCGAGCGAGCGUUGUUCGGAAUCACUGGGCUUAAAGGGCGCGUAGGCGGGCUGUCAAGUCUGGGGUGAAAUCCCGCGGCUCAACCGCGGAACUGCCUCAGAUACUGGCGGUCUCGAGGGGGGUAGGGGCGAGCGGAACUGAUGGUGGAGCGGUGAAAUGCGUUGAUAUCAUCAGGAACUCCGGUGGCGAAGGCGGCUCGCUGGACCUCUUCUGACGCUGAGGCGCGAAAGCUAGGGGAGCAAACGGG
rnacentral:rRNA from 1 species